rnacentral:lncRNA from 1 species
GUCUAAGCUAGGAGAGAGGGCAGCCAAGGCAUACCCAGCACCUUGGGAAGCUCCCCUUUCUCAAGGACCCAGGAUUCUGGCCCCAGCAUCUCUUCCUUAGCCCAGGGGAUUGAGGCAUACAGGCACUCUGUCCUGAAACAGACCCCUGAAAGGAUUCCAUCAGGGCAUGAAGGGGCGGUGGUAGGAGUGAGGUGUCAGCGUCAGACACUUCCAUCUUGUGCCCCUCUCCCCAUUUCCUGAGUCCAACACUUCGUUCUUCUCCUGGAACCUGGCCAGAGUGCAGGGCAAUCUCCAAGGGAAGACACGCAGGGCACGGGCAUAGAGGUGUCCUGGAAGCCCUGGGAGGUGCCUGAUGCAAGACAGUGAACUUUGCAAAGGAUAGCCUGCCAACUGCCAAUUAGCACCUCCCUCACAGAAGCCUUGGGGGCUGACCACAGUCUGGGGUCUGCCUAAGGAGCGAUCCUUAGGACUGGCUUUGCCCACACAAAAAGAACUUUUCUCACUCCUCCAAUUAAAGAUUAUGAACACCUGUCUGGGCUAAAGACCUCCAGCCUCAGAGUCCAUUCCUUUUUUUUUUUCCUGCUUGUUCUCCCCAAAUCCGCCCCUCCCCGCCCCCGUAUAUAGUUGUAUAUUUUAGUUGUGAGUCCUUCUGGUUGUGGCAUGUGGGACGCCGCCUCAGCAUGGCCGACAAAUGGUGCCAUGUCUGCCCCCAGGAUCCGAACCACUGAAACCCCAGGCUGCCAAAGCGGAGAAUGUGAACUUAACCACUGGGCCACAGGGCCCGCCCGAGUCCAUUCUUAAGAGGAAGUAAUUACAGUAUAGACACUUAGAAACCAAGUCAACUUGGUUGUCAGCAAACUUCCAUCUGCUAACCCACAAGACCUUUCAACCUCUCCCUCUAUGGAAUAACUAAAUCACUUGCUUCACAAUUCAGAGGUUAAGCAGCGCAGGUCAUAGAGAAAGAAUUCAAGUUCAGGUUGUCUUGACCCAAAUUCCCUUUUCAGCCUGCAAUACAACUUCCCAACAGUUCCUGGUAGUUUGGAUGGAGGUUCUUAAGAUUCUUUUCCCUUACACAGCACAGGGAAAAAGGGAAACCAGUGUGAGGGUUCAGGAUGCCAGGGACCAUCAUGCUUGAGUUUUCUACAGGCAAACGGGUGAGUACACUGCUUUAUGUGGUUAAUAAUCUUCCUGCAGGUCUUACUCAAAGGAUGGCAAAUUUUUCACUUUUUGCACCAAAGCCACAUCCCCCCAACCCAAAUUUUAAUGUAACUAUGAAGAAAAGGACUCUCAACUCUGUAAGGGGUGUUAUCAAGAUAUUAUCAUCAUGGCCAUAGCAUUUCAAAGAACCCAACAAAUAAAGAGAAAAUCCUG